rnacentral:rRNA from 1 species
GACGAACGCUGGCGGCGUGCCUAAUACAUGCAAGUUGAGCGCUGAAGGUUGGUACUUGUACCAACUGGAUGAGCAGCGAACGGGUGAGUAACGCGUGGGGAAUCUGCCUUUGAGCGGGGGACAACAUUUGGAAACGAAUGCUAAUACCGCAUAAAAACUUUAAACACAAGUUUUAAGUUUGAAAGAUGCAAUUGCAUCACUCAAAGAUGAUCCCGCGUUGUAUUAGCUAGUUGGUGAGGUAAAGGCUCACCAAGGCGAUGAUACAUAGCCGACCUGAGAGGGUGAUCGGCCACAUUGGGACUGAGACACGGCCCAAACUCCUACGGGAGGCAGCAGUAGGGAAUCUUCGGCCAUGGACGAAAGUCUGACCGAGCAACGCCGCGUGAGUGAAGAAGGUUUUCGGAUCGUAAAACUCUGUUGGUAGAGAAGAACGUGGGUGAGAGUGGAAAGCUCAUCAAGUGACGGUAACUACCCAGAAAGGGACGGCUAACUACGUG